rfam:Populus trichocarpa scaffold_11_contig_632, whole genome shotgun sequence.
UAAUAUCUAAAGAUCCAACAAUUCACGUUGUUAUGAUAAAUUCACCUAUAACUGCUCAAAAUCACAUAUUAUUGUGUGAAUAAUAACUUUUUGAGAUUUUAAUUGGAGU